CCAAUAGCGUAUAUUAAAGUUGUUGCAGUUAAAAAGCUCGUAGUUGAAUUUCGAGACCGGUUUAUUGGUCGUGCUUUUGUACGUACUGGUAUUAUUGGUUUCUCCUUUCUGACGAAUCAUAAUGCCAUUAAUUUGGUGUUUUGGGGAAUCAGGACUGUUACUUUGAAAAAAUUAGAGUGUUUAAAGCAGGCUCACGCUUGAAUACAUUAGCAUGGAAUAACGAAAUAGGACGUUUGAUUUUAUUUUGUUGGUUUCUAGGAUCGACGUAAUGAUUAAUAGGGAUAGUUGGGGGCAUUAGUAUUCAAUUGUCAGAGGUGAAAUUCUUGGAUUUAUUGAAGACUAACUACUGCGAAAGCAUUUGCCAAGGAUGUUUUCAUUAAUCAAGAACGAAAGUUAGGGGAUCGAAGACGAUCAGAUACCGUCGUAGUCUUAACCAUAAACUAUGCCGACUAGGGAUCGGAUGAUGUUAAUUUUUUAAUGACUCAUUCGGCGCCUUACG
rnacentral:ncRNA from 2 species